rnacentral:rRNA from 1 species
GUGAGUCAUCGAGUCUUUGAACGCAUCUUGCGCUCUGGGGUAUUCCUCAGAACAUGCCUGUUUGAGUGUCGUAUAAUUCUCAUCUCUAUCGUUUUGUUAUGGAAUGAUUUGUGAUGGAUCGUGGCUGUUGCUGAAUUAAGAAAUUAAAGGAGCUCAGCUGAAAUAUAAAAGCGACGUCUUUAUUGCAGAGUGACAGCAGCGUCGGCGUGAUAAUUAAAUUGCGCAGUUGGUGUGUGGUCGUCUCUGAGUAGCUUAGAGUUAGUUUAACUUAACGUAAUGACCUCAAAUCAGGUAGGACUACCCGCUGAACUUAAGCAUAUCAAUAAGCGGAGG